rnacentral:rRNA from 1 species
UACGGAGGGGACUAGCGUUGCUCGGAAUGACUGGGCGUAAAGGGUGCGUAGGCGGUUCUUUAAGUAAGGCGUGAAAGCCCUGGGCUUAACCCAGGAAGUGCGUUUUAAACUGAAGAGCUAGAGUGUGAGAGAGGAAAGUGGAAUUCCUAGUGUAGAGGUGAAAUUCGCAGAUAUUAGGAAGAACACCAGAGGCGAAAGCGGCUUUCUGGCUCACAACUGACGCUGAGGCACGAAAGCGUGGGGAGCAAACAGG